GGAGGUUAGAGAAGAGGGGGGAGGUGAAAGGAGGGGGUUCACAGCCGGGAAGGUGAGAGACAGCGAUGCUCUCUCCUGUGGCCUGGAGCAAAAACCUUUGUCCCUCAGGGAGCUGGAAGAAGCUGUGAGCAUAGGAAGGUGACCCACAGGGGACCGGGAAUGCCAUGGGUUUAACUAACAGAUUCCCCCGGCUGAACCCCUGCGCUGGGCCGAAUUUAGCAGCAGAAGAGAUAACCAAGAGAUAAGGACUGAUACCCUGGGAGGACAGCGGGAGACGGGCAGGCGGCCGAGGAAAGGGAGAGAAGCCGGAGGCAGCGUUGGGAAGGGGUAAGGAUGGAAGCGAGCCGGGAAGAAGGGGGUUUAAGGGAGCUCCGUGUCCCCCUGAAACUCAGGGGAUGGUUGGUGUGUAACCGGCCUAGAACGGAGCGUUUCCUCGGGAAUCUCCACAGGAGGCGGAAAAGGAGCGAGCUCCCCUCCUGCUUUACAAACAGGAACGGUGAUAAUAAAAAAAUCAACCAAAACCCCAUCAAAAUCGAGUUCGUUUUCAAG